AUGGACACUGCAUUGUUGGCCGUCCUUGUUGAGAAUAGCAACAAUGGUGACCAUGCUCAAAAUGGUUGGAAGCCACAUGUGUAUAAUGCUUGCAUUAAGCAUGUCAAGGAUACAUGUAAUGUUGACAUUACGAAGGAAAACAUAACAGGAAGAAUCAAAACAUUUGACAAGCAGUAUGAGAUCAUUACCAAGAUGCUUGCUCAGAGUGGCUUUGGAUGGGAUUGGGUAAAGAACAUGGUGUCGGUUGAUAGUCACGAAGUGUGGUCUCAAUAUGUGGAGGCUAACAAGGACACACGUGCCUAUAGGAACAAGGUAGUGCUCAAUUGGGAGUCUAUCAAUACCAUAUAUUCAAAAGAUCAUGCGACCGGUGCAGGUGCUAGGACAGGAGUUGAAUGUGUUCAAGAACCACAAGACAACCCGUUGUUGGAGAAGCUCCUGAGGUGCCUUUAA
rnacentral:rRNA from 1 species